rnacentral:rRNA from 1 species
UGCGUAGGUGGCGCGGUAAGUCGGGUGUGAAAUUUCGGAGCUUAACUCCGAAACUGCAUUCGAUACUGCCGGGCUUGAGGACUGGAGAGGAGACUGGAAUUUACGGUGUAGCAGUGAAAUGCGUAGAGAUCGUAAGGAAGACCAGUGGCGAAGGCGGGUCUCUGGACAGUUCCUGACACUGAGGCACGAAGGCGUGGGUAGCAAACA